GCCCCCAUAGUCUAAUGGAUAGGACACGGCCCUGCGGAGGCCGUAAUCUGGGUUCGAAUCCCGGUGGGGGCA
rnacentral:tRNA from 1 species